CGAACUAACUAAUAAAAUUUCUUAACUCCUUUUUUGACCUAUUCUUAAAUUUCUCACACGGUAUAUGACGUUAUCACCAACAUUGUUUCUUCAAGCCAUGAAGAAGUGGCUUUUGAAAGUUAUUCAACGCAGUUUGGUACAGCCGAGGCUGCUCGUUGCUUACUAACUCAUGAGAUAGAAACCAUAAGGAAGUGCCUAGAGAAACAUAAGGGAUUUAGAUUAAGGCUUGUGGUCAUUCACUGGGAGGUGCAACGGCUUCUUUGCUUGCAAUGAUGCUCUGUAAAAAGUCAUAUAAUGAGCGUGGAUUCAGCCCUGAUACAAUUUCCGCAGUUGGAUAUGCCACCCCUCCUUGUGUAUCCAAAGAACUUGCUGAAAGUUGCUCUGAUUAUGUAACAACAGUGGUGAUGCAGGAUGAUAUAAUCCGAAGAUAAAGUGUUGCUUCAUUAUUAAGAUUGAGGAAUGAAAUUCUUCAAACUGAUUGGUAAGAAACCACCAUAUUUGGAAGCUUUUCGAGACCUUUAUCUAAACAGAUGCCAGUCCAAAAUUUUGAAGUGAGUAGUAUCUGUAUAAAAAACUUCUUACAACCAAUUACUAAAGAUUUUAAGUUAUUUUCUCUUUUUUGUUCAGUAAAAGGUACAAGCAGAUUCUGAAUUGUA